rnacentral:rRNA from 1 species
UACGUAGGGGGCAAGCGUUGGUCCGGAUUUAUUGGGCGUAAAGAGCGUGUAGGCGGCCAUGUAGGCUCCGUUGUGAAAACUCGAGGCUCAACCUCGAGACGCCGAUGGAAACCAUGUGGCUAGAGUCCGGAAGAGGAGAGUGGAAUUCCUGGUGUAGCGGUGAAAUGCGCAGAUAUCAGGAAGAACACCCGUGGCUAAGGCGGCUCCUCUAGUACGGUACUGACGCUGAGACGCGAAAGCGUGGGGAGCGAACAGG